GACGAACCGAGCGAACGUUGUUCGGAAUCACUGGGCUUAAAGGGCGCGUAGGCGGCUUACCAAGUCAGGGGUGAAAUUUUGCGGCUUAACCGUAACAGUGCCUUUGAUACUGGUAGGCUCGAGGGGGACAGGGGUCCGCGGAACUUCUGGUGGAGCGGUGAAAUGCGUUGAUAUCAGGAGGAACGCCGGUGGCGAAAGCGGCGGACUGGAUCCUUUCUGACGCUGAGGCGCGAAAGCUAGGGGAGCAAACGGG
rnacentral:rRNA from 1 species